rnacentral:rRNA from 1 species
GACAGAGGGUGCAAACGUUGCUCGGAAUCACUGGGCGUAAAGGGCGUGUAGGCGGACUUGCAAGUCAGGCGUGAAAUCCCUGGGCUCAACCCAGGAAUUGCACUUGAAACUGCAAGCCUUGAGUGUCGGAGAGGAAAGUGGAAUUCCUGGUGUAGAGGUGAAAUUCGUAGAUAUCAGGAGGAACACCGGUGGCGAAGGCGGCU